GAUGAACGCUGGCGGCGUGCCUAAUACAUGCAAGUCUAGCGAACGGACGAGAAGCUUGCUUCUCUGAUGUUAGCGGCGGACGGGUGAGUAACACGUGGAUAACCUACCUAUAAGACUGGGAUAACUUCGGGAAACCGGAGCUAAUACCGGAUAAUAUUUUGAACCGCAUGGUUCAAAAGUGAAAGACGGUCUUGCUGUCACUUAUAGAUGGAUCCGCGCUGUAUUAGCUAGUUGGUAAGGUAACGGCUUACCAAGGCAACGAUGCAUAGCCGACCUGAGAGGGUGGUUGGGCAAAAGGGAACAGGAGAAAGGGCCAGAAAACUAAGGGAAGGAGGAGGAGGGAAGAUUUCGGAAAGGGGGAAAAGCGUAAGGAAGAAAGGCGGGGGGAGGGAGAAAGGUGUUGGAAUGGAAAAACUUUGUAAUAGGGAAAAAAAAAAGGGGAAAGAAAAGGGGAAAAAGUGAAGGGAACGAAUCAGAAAGCCACGGCUAACUACGUG
rnacentral:rRNA from 1 species